AUGGUGCCCCCAGUUCAGGUCUCUCCACUCAUCAAGUUCGGCCGGUACUCCACUCUGAUCCUCGGCAUGGCAUACUGCGCCAAGCGCUACAGUUACCUAAAACCCCGGGCAGAGGAGGAGAGGAGAACAGCAGCGGAGGAAAAGAAGAGACUAGAUGAGUUGAAACGGAUUGAGAGAACUGGCAGAAGCUCGAGAUGACAGCAUUCUCCA
rnacentral:lncRNA from 1 species